GGGAAUACACUGGGAAAGGGAGGCAGAGCUUCACCGGGAUACUGGAUUAAGACGGGGCAGAGAGGCUGAUAUGCAAAGAGGGGCGGAGAUAUGGGACCGGGAGUCGGGGCUAAGAAGGGGCAGAGAAAUUCCUCUGCAGUGGGACAGAGACCGAGAAGUAGAACUACAGUGGGAGAGAGAACGAGAGGCAGAAUACUGGCACAGAAGGGCUACCGUAUCCCCCUACGGGCCUCACGGUCAUGAAUUACCAGCAUUUAACGUCGAUCCACUUCCUGCAGGCCAUCCUGCAUACCCCGAACCCUCCCGGUCCCACUCUCAUGCCCAUCUGGAUCUCAAGUACAGCAGCAGUUCCAGUGGAUAUCAGACACCACACCAGAUGUGCCCCUGCUCCCCCUACCAGCCUUCACCCUCAGAGAGUCGUGGCUAUGCCUCAGAUUACCAGUCUGAGUCCACGUCCCCUCUUCCACCUCCCUCCACCUCGUGCCCUGGCCCAGUGCACCAUGCCAGCGGACCUAUAGAUAACCAAACAGACUCCCACCCUCAGCAGUACACCUCUGAAACAAAUACAGACAGCAUAGGCUGGCGUAGUCACAUUACCCAUGGUUCCCUACGGCGGACACAUCAAGAUCCACAUGCCCCUUGUUCAACACCCUCUGAUAUUUCAGGACCUCCAACACCAGUCCACACAAGCAGCCCUUUGCAAUUCCAGGAGAGUCCUAGCCUGAGUGUCCGUGAGUAUGACUCAAGAGAGGUGAACAGUGAAAGCAGCUCGGCCCACUCCCACAACAGGACACAUCCACUUGCCCUACAGUCAAACAGUACCAGUCCGGGGUCUCGGCAAACUGUACUUUCUUCCAGUCAAGAGAUUCCUGAGAUAAACUCCUUUCCUGCCACACCCACCACUGCCCAACAACUCUCUGCCCUGCUUACUACACCUCCCACCCCACAAAGCUCACCAGAGCACUCCGCCCCUUUAACACCUCCAUCAGAAUCUAUCCAACCACAGACAAACAGCUCGCCUACUGCUGCUACAGUGCCACCCAGAGGGGAAAUGGUACCACAUUCAACUGUUAAACCAGCACCUUCACCAGAUCCCUCUUCUCAUAUCCUGUCCAAGUCCAUCCUAGCUCAUUCACAGAGCAACGGAGUAUCACCAUCUCCUGAACCAGACACCACUUCUGCUUCUUCAGUCCCUGCGUCCCCUCAACCACCCACUGGCGAACACGAGAGCUCAUCCUCCCCUGAACCCCCAGUCCCCGGAUUCGCCACGCUGGGCAGGAAGCUGAUGUUGGGCUCUGAAACCUCACUUCCCCCAGGACACAGUACGGACGGCAGCCCCAGCUCCACUCCCACCUUCCCUGUCUCUCCCGCCUGCUGCACCCCAUCUCCUCCACCAGGUCUCCACUUAGGGUGCCCAGCCAACUCCGUCCCACAGCCUCCCCUCCCUGAGAAACGCCGCCCAUCCGGCCUGCCAGGAUCACCCAACGGGAGGUCUGGAAUGCUGAGGGGGUCCAUGAGUCAUCAGCCCUCUGGGCAACACCAUGUUACAUUCUCACCUUCAGUAGGAGAGCUGACCAUGCCCGCUGGACAGGGAGAAGUUGGUGUAGAGGGUGAGAUGGGCAGCCGUGUCAGUGUGAAAUUUGUGCAGGACAGCUCUCGGUUUUGGUAUAAACCUGGCAUCUCUAGAGAGCAAGGUGAGAAAACCACUGUUGUCUUUUAACUAUAUAAAACUAAAUGCAGUUUAGAGAUAUCUUCAUAGCCAGCUUCUAAUUAGGGCUGGGUAAAGAUACUGAUUUUCCAUUUAAUUUUCAUUUGAGCAAUCUCCAUUUGUAAAACUGAAGUGCAGUGUACUGCAAAAUAAUGUCCAGAGGUGGCUUUCUUUUGAGUUCCCUCCAAAAAUAUACCCAAAUGAAUUGGAAUCAAAUCAGAAUUUAACUAGAUCAGGAAAUGUCUGUCAAUACCCAGCAUUAUUGCUGAUUGCUGUAUGCAAAUGCAGCCAUGUCUUAUUAGUGGUCCUUGCACUUUUCAUAACCCUUAGUAUGAGCAAGACUAACAGUGAUGCUUACUUUUGUGCUGUAGUGUUUUUGCACAUGCUGCAACAGAUUGUUGUUCCAUAUGUUUGGAUCUAUUUUUUAAAUGGCAAUGUCUCAUUAAACUGUCCUGUCUCUGUUCAACAGCUAUUGCAGCACUGAAGGAAAGAGAGCCAGGGACCUUCCUCAUCCGAGACAGUAACUCUU
ensembl:lncRNA